rnacentral:rRNA from 1 species
UACGUAGGUGGCAAGCGUUGUCCGGAUUUAUUGGGUUUAAAGGGUGCGUAGGCGGCCCUGUAAGUCAGUGGUGAAAUACUCUAGCUUAACUAGAGGGGUGCCAAUGAUACUGCAGGGCUUGAGUACAGAUGAGGUAGGCGGAAUUGACGGUGUAGCGGUGAAAUGCAUAGAUAUCGUCAAGAACACCUAUAGCGAAGGCAGCUUACUGGGCUGUAACUGACGCUGAGGCACGAAAAGUGUGGGGGAUCAAAACAGG